UUUCCGUAGGUGAACCUGCGGAAGGAUCAUUACAGUAAUAUGCUGUAGACCUGGUGUCUUGGAUAAAACCAUGGAGUAUAUUCUCCGUGUGGCCUGCAAGGGAAUCCAGCACCGCCCAACCUUGUAAAUCUAAAAACGUUACCUCGGCAGGUUUGCUUGCCGGUGGAUAUAUUAGUUAAACUCUUUUAAAUAUAACUGUAAUCAGUAGUACUGUCUGAAAAUUUAUUAAAUAUUAAAACUUUCAACAACGGAUCUCUUGGUUCUG
rnacentral:misc_RNA from 1 species